AACUUAUCUCAAUGUCGGCCCAGCACUCAUCUUCUUGAAGUUGAACUGAUUAGGGCAUCCGCCGUAUUUGUGUAAAUCUUUCGAGAUGUUUCCGCGUGUGGUGGCGAUUCUUAUUCCGGUGAAUCGAAUCUGUAACUCUCCAGCCAUUCAAUACAGAGGAGAUGCCUCUUCGCCAGUAACGCUUUCACCAUACACCCAUAUAUUGUUCUGGUCAAGCGAUCUAUGCAUGGUCGGAUUUUAUCUUUCGCCUAGCGAGUUUGUACUUUUUGUUGUAUGUUUCGAUUCAAACAAAACCUUUCUUCAAUGUUUUUUAUUUUUCUUUUGUUUGAGUCGAGAAAUAAAUUUCCAAUCUAUAAGAUGGAUUCUCGGGUAGCUCUCUAAGCAUCACUUAACUCCAUCUGAUCUCUACUCAACUAGAUCGACCGUGUUUGGAGAGGGCAAUAUCACGUUUGCCUGCUGUCAAUCCUGAGUGGGGCGGUGAAGUUCUUCCGGUUAACUUCACCGGAGACGUGAACGCUCUCCUCACAUUCCGGCUGUUGAAGGUUGAUGAUGAGUGAGGAAAGCGAUCAAAGAGAAGCUGCAUCCCUUUACCAGUGAAGAUUGGUGGUCCGGCAACAAAGCUAUGGUAAAUCAAGGAUCUACCGGCGAAGUCGUGUCAGCUUUUUCUCACCAGGCAGCGGCGCGUGUUGAUACGGUCCUUGGAGUUCAUGGAAGAGAGCGUGAAGGAACGUGCGGUCAAGAGGAUAACUGCAUGAAGGAUGCGUGGCUGUUUGCGUAUCACUAAAAGCGGUGUAGGCUUGGAGUGAUAUGGUCGCUUUGGUCUCUGAUGGCGUUUCAGUUACUCCAGAAAGCUUCUCAAGCUUACAUGGAAAGAACUGUAGAAGAAAAUAAAUGAGACGCACGGUCAGUUUGCGUUUACAACGAGCGAGACAGGAACAUACUUAGCAUGUUUUUGGAUACACCACGAUCAGACACAUUACACAGCCAAAACAAGAAAAGAUUGAG